CCAAUUCAGUUAGCUUUUGUUUCCCGACCGAGUGAGACGCACAUGUUGAAUCGUCGCCGUGGUUCGCCGUAGUUCAUGAGCGCAUCGUAUUCGUAUUCUCUGGCUGUCGCCGUGUGAAAUUCAUCAAACAAAUAAAGCAACAAAAAAGUGUACAGUGUAUGUGCGAGUGUGUUUGUGUGCACGCGGUGCGCGCCCAAGAGAGUGAUCCAAUCCCAACCGCCCCCCAUCCGCGGCACCCCACGGUCCGCGGUGACCAAGCUUAUAAUCCACCGAAGUCAGCAAGGUUGAAAUUCGCGCCGUAGUCUCCGCUAGCCGUAUUUCGCGGGUUCUGGUUUGACUGGUUCUUACCCGUUCGUUCGUUCGUCCGCUCGACAUUCGUCGCCGUCGCUUGCCCUUGGUACACCUUCGUGCGUUGUCGUGUCGUCGCAAUCACGGAAACUUGACCGUGGAUGUUAUUGAAGAGUAAGAGCACCACCAAACAAACAUCAAUCCAAGGGUUGUUUGUUGUUUUUGUAGUGUAGAAAAGCAGCAGUUCAGAAGGACAGGAGUUCUGGAAAAAAACGCGCGCGCCAAAUCGGUAUCGCAAUCUACGGCUCUUGGAAUCGCUGACUGACACCAGAAGAAGCGAAGAAGUCGUUCGCCGCAACUCUCGCAGGAAGAAGCAGAAGAAGAGAAGCGCCGAGCACAGGAGAGCAUCACCAGCGAAGAAGUGAAGCGAAGUGAAGUGUGUAUGUUGUGUGUUCCGUUCAGCAACCCAACCAUCAUAAAGUGAGUGUGUCCGCCUAGCCGCCAGUAAACGAAGAGCAGCGCAAGAAUUACAGGCAAAUAAAAGGUCGCACGAAGAAGAAUAGUAACAACAUCAGCGGCAGCAAGCGCAACAAUAAGAAGAGAAGAGUGCGCAAGGGAGAGAGAGAGUGUGUGGCAAGUUCGUAAUAAAGAGUGGAGAGAAGCAAGAGCAGCACCCUCUGGAGGCAGUCAUAAACCAGAAGGUACAAGGUAUCAACGAAGGAAGGCAGAAGCCGGCCGGUGGGAGGAAGACGGAAGCAGAGGAUCAGCGGAGCAACCGGAGUGAAAGAGAAAAAUUUGCCACAAUGUGGGCCACAGUUCGACGGAAAUAACCUUUCACUCUCCAACUUCGGGACGCCCCAGCCGGUAGCCAUCUAGCAGCAGUACUAGUGUGUGAUGCAAAAUGAACGCAGCAGUGAAAGGAAAAAUCAGUACGUAGUCGAAGGAGUAUAGAUGUUGUUGUGCGAUAAACGCAGGUGUUGAAACCAAGUGAAAUCAAUCCGAUAUCCGCAACUGAGUCGGAUAUUUUGUUCUGAAUCGUCAAAGAAGAAGAAAAAUACAUACAAAAAAGUGCAGUGCCGAAGAAGAAACCCAAAACCGUCACACCGAAGCCACUCGCACAGUCCACAGAGUGGUAAGUGGGAUAGUAGUUGUGUUGUGCAGGAAAAGGUACCCGAAACACCCCGCCAAAAUACGUCUCCCGACACGAUACUAGCGAAAUGUUGCCGAAACGAUCCCGUUUGGGCGAGGUUCGUGGGCCGAUCUCGAACGGACCGAUGCAGUCGCGGCCGCUGGUGGCCCUGCUGGACGGCCGGGACUGCUCGAUCGAGAUGCCAAUACUGAAGGACGUCGCCACAGUCGCGUUCUGCGACGCACAGAGCACAUCGGAGAUUCACGAAAAAGUAUUAAACGAAGCAGUGGGCGCGUUAAUGUGGCACACAAUCAUCCUCACAAAAGAAGAUCUGGAAAAGUUCAAAGCGUUACGGAUAAUCGUCCGCAUCGGCAGCGGAGUCGACAACAUCGACGUGAAAGCGGCCGGCGAGCUGGGCAUCGCCGUGUGUAAUGUGCCCGGCUAUGGCGUCGAAGAGGUCGCCGAUACCACCAUGUGUCUGAUCCUGAACCUUUACCGGCGGACGUACUGGCUAGCGAACAUGGUUCGAGAGGGCAAAAAAUUCACAGGACCAGAACAAGUGCGGGACGCAGCGCAGGGCUGUGCAAGAAUACGAGGAGACACCCUGGGAUUAGUCGGUCUGGGCAGAAUAGGCAGUGCGGUGGCGCUCCGGGCGAAGGUGUUCGGUUUCAACGUGAGCUUCUACGAUCCCUACCUGCCGGACGGAAUCGAGAAAUCGCUUGGCCUGACCCGCGUCUACACCCUGCAAGAACUGCUAUUCCACUCCGACUGCGUGUCGUUACACUGUACAUUAAAUGAACAUAAUCAUCACUUAAUUAACGAGUUCACGAUUAAACAGAUGAGACCCGGUGCAUUUCUAGUGAACACAGCCCGCGGUGGCCUAGUGGACGACGAAGCGCUGGCCCAUGCGCUCAAACAAGGCCGAAUCCGGGCGGCCGCACUAGACGUUCAUGAGAAUGAGCCAUACAAUGUAUUUCAGGGUGCCCUGAAAGACGCCCCCAACCUACUGUGUACGCCCCAUGCCGCCUUCUACAGCGAGGCAGCCACGACCGAACUGCGCGAGAUGGCGGCCAGCGAAAUCCGACGGGCAAUCAUCGGCAAUAUUCCGGACUGCCUCCGGAACUGCGUGAACAAGGAAUACUUCCUACGAUCGUCGACGGGCGGCGGUGCCGGAGGAUACUCAGAAGAUAAAAAACUUAUAGCUGGUAUAAAUGGCGGCUAUUAUUCAUCAGGUGGAUUACAACAAGCACAUAGUACAACACCGCUCGAGGCACCGCACAGUGCUGGAUCCCACGGGCCGCCCAGUGGUCCCCCGCCACCGUCAGUCGCCGUACCACCUGUCUCCGCUGUCACAGCGCCACCACCACAAGGUAUACAACAUUCUAUGGUCAGCAAAUCGAUAUUGAUGCACUUGAUUACGGGACCGUAGCUUUUAAUGCCCAAAACAAGCACAAUUUCCGUUAAUGAAUGAAUGAAUGAUACACACACAAUCACUACUCAUCCCUGGUAUUGUUGAUCGAUGUCACCGGGGAAAUCUAACUCUGAGCCUCUUAGUGCCCCCGAUCCAAGUAAUCAUCAUCCGGUCAAGCCGGAACAAUCGGAAGUACAUUAGUUUCAUUAUUACUAUUAUUAUUAUGUAUGGCUUACUGUUAGUUACACGAGAGUUAAAAUCCGAUCGAGAGCAAACCGAGAAAAGUUGGCAAACACAAGGUUAGGAAAACGCAGUUUUUUUCAGGAUUGAGCAUAGGCAACAUGCGAUACAGAGUAACGAAAUUAACAGAUUCAGAUAGAUGAGGGACUAAACGGUAAACAGAGAAAAAUUACAGAAAAAAAGUAUAUAUUGAGGACGAGAAUACACACUAGAGGAACGAUAAUAAUUAUUAUUGAUAAAACAUUGAAGAUGAAAAAGUAAACAAGAAAAUGUGAGAAAUACUUAUUAGUAAGAUGUGAGAAGUUACUGCAACAUAAGAAGAAAAAGUAUAAGCAAAUGAGAGAAAGUGAAAUAAAAAAGAGUAAUACAAAAUUAUGUAAGGGAAAAACUAUGUAUAGAAAUACCUACAGAUGUAGACAAAAGUAGAAACAGACAUCCUACCACCACAGAACGACGACGAAAACAGCAACUUUAAAUACAAACUGAUACACAGACUUUACACAAAUAGUUCAAGAUUAAAAAGUAACAGAAAUGUUUUCGCUUCCAAUGAUUCACUCAAAUUUAGAUUCAACCCAGAGAUCUGCUGAAAGACAAGCUGAAUAAGACCUAAUACGGACACACUGAGGAAAGGAACAAACUCAAACACACAUACAAACUUCUAUGUUGUAGUGGUACAUUGAAAAUGAAUUGCUUCCUUUUUUUUUGUUUUAAAACUCUUUAAGAUAAUAUGAAUUGGAUUAUAUUUUAUUUUUUCUCUGUAAGUAGAAGAACAGGAAUUCCUUUUAUUUUUUAAUUUGUACGUAGGAGUUAGCAUGAAUAUACAAACAGAAGGAAAAAUAAUAAGCAGAAACACAGGAAUACGCGAGAGAGUAGGUAAACAUGUGUGCGUGUGUGUGAAACUGAUGAGAAAUUCGUUCGUGUGAGAGAGUGAAAUUCGGUUCACCACACGACUAUUGCAGCAAUGCAGUGGGCGAGAAAGAGAGAGUGAGCGAGUGAAGGGAAUGAGAGUUUGCGACGAUGGCGUUUACUUCUAUGAGCAAAUUUGUCUGUUUUGUGAAAGUCAGACAGAUAAGGGAUAUAACUUAGUGAUUGUCAUUGUAGAGAGGAAAUAGAUUUACUGGAUUCUGAUUCUUUAUUCGGGAAAUGGAAUCCGGCAAUUGUGGCAGGACAUUUGAAGAAAGUUUUCAACCGGAAAUCACAUGUAAACAUUUACGCCGGUUUGUACUGGAAUUGGACAUUCAAUGCUCAACAAUACAUAAUAUGUUUAAUCAAAUUGAAAAUUCAUAUUAGUCUAAAAUUCGACUUCAAUCGGUAUUUUUCAAAAGUUCCCCCACAGAGUGCCAUAUUUCGAGUGCAUAUAUCAAAUCUUCUAAUCUGACCCAUAUCUCCGUAUGAAAUUCAGUUGAAUACAGACAUAAUUCCAAUUUCUUCAUUGGUAUCGUUGAUCCUCCCAAUAUUGUCUCCGAGAUGGCGCUGAUGCCGUCCCAUUCUACUUAUCGAAUAUCCAUACUCAAGACUUCCAAUCAAAUCAUUCUGAUUGUCGAAGACUAGCUCAGAUGACUACGUAUCAACAAUCAUUGAUCAUUCAAUAUUUUUGAUAUGUACGAUAUAUUCAAUCAAUUAAAGCUUCACAUUAGCUUUUUCAUCAUGCUUCUUAUUUUUCCAUUGACCACUAAAGCUGAGGUUCUUUUCCUCUUCGCUUCGACAGGUUCACCCCGUCUGCCAUCGUCCGGAUUCCGCUUUCCCGUAAGUCAGGAGUUAGGAACCACAGCCGCACUCAAGUAACCGAGCGCGGGCCAGCUAUAAGAGAAAUGUGACGACUAGGUAUAUACAAGUAGAUGUAAAACCAUGCUAAUAAACGUGAGAGGAAAGUGAAAAAACGGAAACCACGAUCAGACAAAAAAAAAACAAGUUUUAAUCUAAAUAAUAAGAACAGGAAAAAAACCCCUAACCGUAUGCUUUAAGAAUGUAAGAGAAAACAUAGUAAGAGAUCGAAAACAAACCGCUACAACUUCUAAUGAUGAACACAAUCUUAAGUCAAUGCCCCCUUAAUGAUGUGAUGAUGCAACAUAGAUGAAAGUAUAACACUCCAAUGGUAAAAAAAAAAUCAACCAGGAGAAACAUUCGAUCUGUAGAUUCUCCUUCUGCAAAUUUGAGCGAAUCAAUCCAAAUCUCUCUGAGUAGUUUCGCAACGCUCCCCCUCACUGUUCUGGAUAGAAUCGAAUUACAAAAGGCAUUCAGAAUCAUUGCUAGAUAUUAGUCCAUUGUAGUGCUGAGCAUUUGUUAACUGAAAGAACAAAAAACACAAAUUGAGGAAAUAAACGAAAGAAAAUGAAACACUAAGCUCGUUUCAAAUCAAUUAGUGAGAAAAGAAGAUAUACGCGUUCACUGAAAUAAUUAAAACAAAAUAUAUGUUGAACGAGAGAGAGAGAGCACACUUUACAGCACAUUAUCCAUUCCGUUGCGCGCAUCUACGUUACAAAAAUACAGCCAGCCAGAAUCGAAAUUCAAGAAGAUUAACCAUUUUAGGGAGAGUUUUUGAGAGGGCUCAGAUAACUGUGCAACAACAACAACAGCUACACACAAAAGUACGAUGGCGAAAAACACAGAAACGAAAAACCCGAACACUUCUGUAAAUGUGAAUAAAAAGUUAGAUGGCAGAAACCGUGAAUGAAAAUGGAAGGCAUAUAAAUAAAAUCUGAAACAUGGGUAAAAAUUACAAUAAAAAGUA